CCUACGGGAGGCAGCAGUAGGGAAUAUUGCACAAUGAAGGAAACUCUGAUGCAGCGAUGCCGCGUGAGUGAAGAAGGCCUUUGGGUUGUAAAGCUCUUUCGUCGGGGAAGAAAAUGACUGUACCCGAAUAAGAAGGUCCGGCUAACUUCGUGCCAGCAGCCGCGGUAAUACGAAGGGACGUAGCGUAGUUCGGAAUUACUGGGCUUAAAGAGUUCGUAGGUGGUUAAAAAAGUUGGUUGUGAAAUCCCGAAGCUUAACUUCGGAACUGCAAUCAAAACUUUUUAGCUAGAGUACGAUAGAGGAAAGCAGAAUUUCUAGUGUAGAGGUGAAAUUCGUAGAUAUUAGAAAGAAUACCAAUUGCGAAGGCAGCUUUCUGGAUCAUUACUGACGCUGAGGAACGAAAGCAUGGGUAGUGAAGAGGAUUAGAUACCCUCGUAGUCCAUGCCGUAAACGAUGUGUGUUAGACGUUGGAAAUUUAUUUUCAGUGUCGCAGCGAAAGCAAUAAACACACCGCCUGGGGAGUACGACCGCAAGGUUAAAACUCAAAUGAAUUGACGG
rnacentral:rRNA from 1 species